rnacentral:lncRNA from 1 species
CAAAAAAUCAUUUGGAAGCUUCUUCUCUUUAAACAUACUUAGGAUGUGUUUGGCUCGAAGUCGGAAUCGGUAUCGAAAUCAGAAUAAAAAUAAGCUGAAAAUAAAAUCGAAAUGAUUCAUUACCUUAUUCUGUUUGAUUCGCCAUCUGUAUCGAAAUUGGAAUGAACCAUUUUCAUUGUCGCUGUUUGAUUCAAAUAGAUAUCAGAAACGAAACCAAUUAAUAUGCAAUUUUAUCUUUAUAAUAAAUUAGUUUAAAUUCAAACUGCAACUUAAAUAUUAAAAAUUUACGCCAAAAUUUUAAAACGAUGUAAAAAUUUUAAAUAUAUUUUUUUAAAAAAAUUAAAAUUUGAAAUUGAACAAAUAAUUCAGAAAAUAAAACUAAAAUUUGAUUUAUUCAAAUUCAAACUUAAAUUACAAUUUCAAUUUCAAUUUGAAUCCAUAAAUUUAAUUUAAAUUUUAAAAAAAAUUUGAAAAAAUUUUAGAUUUUAAAUUAAAUUUAAAUUUAAAUUCAAAUUUAUAAAUUAGAUUU